GAGAAUGAAUCGCAGUUCAGUUUCUACCUGUGGUGGUGGCCGCCUCUCUAUGCAGGAGUUAAGGUCCCUGGACCUCAAUAAGCCAGGCCUUCAUACCCCUCAAACCACAGAAAGAUCAACCUUUGGAAAGCUGAGUACACACAAACUGAUAUCUGAAGGAAAAGUCCCAAUAUUUGGGAAAAGGUGAUGCCUUCUUUACAUGAUGCUAGUGGUGAAAAGAUUCUGUUAUUAUAAGGACUAGUGGACAUGAAUCCAGGAAUAGUCAACUUGGUAUAUUUUCCAGUUCUGAAAAAAAUCAAGGACCCAAGACCAGUUAAUGACAAAGCAUUCAUUCAGCAGUGUAUUUCACAACUCUAUGAGUUUCUUACAGAAAAUGGUUAUGUAGAUAGUGUAUCCAUAAAGUCUCUACAAGCUCCAUCUACUAAAGAUUUCCUAAAGAUCUUCGCCUUUCUUUAUGGCUUUCUGUGCCCAUCAUAUGAAUUUCCUGAUACAAAAUGUGAAGAAGAGGUCCCAAGAAUUUUUAAAGAACUUGGGUUUCCCUUCCUACUGUCCAAGAGCUCCAUGUAUGCAGUGGGAGCCCC
rnacentral:lncRNA from 1 species